CACAUAACUGCAGCAUAUCAGAGCUAAUCUUGAGUAUUGGCUGCCAAAUCCCUACCAGCAGGGAGAAGUUACAAUUCUGUUGGUCUCAGGGCCCAGAUAGACCCUCAGUAGUGUAAUGUAUGAAGAUUCAAGUUUAGUCCACAGUUAGCUUAUGCAGACAUGAAGAAAAUGCUCUGUUAAAUCAACAAGAUUAAACUGACCUUAUAAAGCAGUAACCCUGAAAAUGCUUGCACUGGUUGUUGAAGAUUGAAUCAUAUAUGAAGGGGGAUGGAGGAAGAAGAAUGUUAAAGUGUUCAGUUAUCUGCAUUCUGCUGGGGCUGUGGUUGGAUCGCUGACAGCGAGGUAGCUAAAAACCUGGAUGCCCAGCAGGCGGUCCCAAGGACAGGGUGGCACUGUGGCUCCUCUGUUUUAGAGCCUUGAGGCUCAAGGUUUAGUAAGAGGACCAAGGAGUCUCAUAGAAACUGCAAUACCGCAGCAGGCAGACUGGUUGUGGGGGUGUGCUGUCCACCGGGCCAGGCAGCCCCCCGCCAGCCAGAAGAGGAGGGAAAGCUGAAAUAAGUUAACCACCAGUCUCUAGAGGUGUUACUACCUGCUUUGCAACAGCCACCAUAUUACCAGAUCUUCCACAAGCAGCGGUUCAGUGUAAGAGGUACCAUAAUUCAGAAGCUAGCUGUUCAAUACUGGAGCUUUCAUGGCCGGACCAAGAAGUAACUACUUGUCCUUCUAAAGGUGAAGAACUAUCAAUGUGAAGAAGAGUAUUGACUGGAGUAAGCCCAUAACACAGCUGUUGACAUCCUAACCUUUCUCUUACAGUUCACAAAACAGUUGUUAAGAAGUGGUCCAAGAAAGAAAGGAAAUUAUGCUUCUUAUCUCACACCAAUACCUUUAGAUCUAUUUCCAAUACCUUUAGAUCUAUUUGUAUAAAGAAGACUUAUACCUUGGCUUUCUACCUAGAAUGUUUUCUGCCACUACCUUGCCUGUUACAGCAGUAAUUUGUCAAAUUGCCUCUAUGGCAAUUGGUAGCAUGGACAAUAAACAAGAGGAGUUAGUCAUGGGCAUGCCUGCAAGGCUAUGAUCUUAUUGGAGUCAUGGAGAUGUGGUGGAAGAGGUCCUAUGACUGGAAUGGUGGAGUGCAAGGAUACAAGCUCUUUAGGAAAGACAGAUGGGGAAGAUGCGAGUGGGGGUGUUUCUCUCUAUGUGAAUGACCAGCUGGAGCGUGUGGAGCUCCACCUAGGGAUGGAUAAGGAGCUGACCGAGAGCUUAUGGGUCAGCAUUAAAAGAAGAGCAGAGACAGGUGAUAUUAUAGUGGAGAUUUGCUACAGUCCACCCAACCAGGAUGACCAAGUGGUUGAGGCCCUCUAUAGACAGAUAGGAGCAGCCUCAAGUUCACAAGCCCUGCUCAUCAUGAGGGCCUUCAACCACCUUGAUAUCUGUUGGAGGGACAACAUAGCAGGGCAUAAACAAUCUGUGAAGCUCCUGGAAUGUGUUGAGGAUAACUUCCUUCUCCAAGUGACAGAGAAGCCAACAAGGAGAGAUGCUAUGCUGGACUUCAUUGUCACCAACAAGGAGAGGAUUGUGGGGAAUGUAAAGCUCAAGGGCUGCCUUGACCAUGAAAUGGUGGCAUUGAAGAUUCUUAGGAAAGCAAGGAAGACACACAGCAAGCUUGCUACCUUGGACUUCAGGAGAGCAGACUUUGGCCUCCUCAGGGAUCUGCUUGAUAGGUCAUGGGAUAAAGCCUUGGAGGGAAGUGAGGCCCAGGAAAGCUGGUUGAUACUCAAGGAUCACUUUCUCCAAGCAAUGCAUUUCAACAAAGAGGAAGUCAGGCAAAAAUGCCAUGACGCCUGUCCAGGCAACCUGUUGAUUAAAAUGUCACAUUAUGGACAAAAUUUUUUUCUAUAGCGUUUGUUUUUGAAUUUAUCAUGUGGGUAUAGAUGACAAUGUGGCAAAAGUUUACUGCAGAAACUGUUGAAAAAGAAGUAGAAAUGCCACCUAAUUACCACCUCUUUACUCACAAGACACAUUAAUUCUAUAAGUGGUGCUAAAAUAUCAGAUAAAUUACAUUAAGCUUUUAAGUUAUAUAAGCUAUAAGUUUGGGGCGGGGAAGGGGGGUUAGUUUGGCUGUCUUUAGCAAUGACUGCACUGCAUUGCUCAUAUUUUCCAUGACCUACUCAUUCACUGAUUUAUAACAUAUUAUUUGAGUAAUCACAUACUGAAAGGCACUGAAAAUGGGAGUGAUCAGAAUGUAUAAAAGCUUUUGUUGAAGCAGCUCUAUUUAUAUGCUUCACAUAAAGCUUAGCACUUCUAGCUAUAGUAACAAUUUCCCUCAUUUUAAGCAAUUUUCUUGUCUCGUUAGUUUUUGUACCUUUAUCUACAGAUAAAGAUAAUUAUAGUUUCAGUAGCAUCAGUAUCUCCCAUAAGUUAAACUACGCAUAUAGCUUAGAUGCCAUUUAAAGUUUAAGAAGACCUUCAUUGUGUUUCCCUCUCUCACUCCUUUCUUUUCUUCUAACUGACACAAAUAAUGGCUUCUGAAAGGAGGGGGAAAAUAGGUUAACAAUAACCUCCCAGGCAGGAAUUCUAAUGAGAUUCAAACUUGUCCCUGUCUCACCCUCAUUUCCUUUCCUGGCAGGUCUGAUUGCUUAUAUGUUUGAUGUCUUUCAUGAAAUGUUUCUUUGGAAAUUAUUUUUAAAGGGCAUGACAUACACAAGAGAGAAGAUGGAGGGAAAUCUUGAUUAAAAAAAUCCAGAGUUGUGUUGCAUUUGUUCUUUACACAUCUCAGAACUGAUCUCUUCAUAUAAAUAUCCUGCAUAAUUUUUCAUCUUUCUGUGUUGUUUCAAGACUACUAGUUUUUAAUUCAGAAAACACAACUAGUCUUUCUCAGCUUUGAAUAAAUUAAUUCCCUUCUUAUUGUCUCAAUUUCCUGUUAUAGUUUUGCUACUGUUCAAAUACUAGCUUGUAGCUUGUACAGACUUUUUUCCCUCUUGUUUUCACUGUGUUGAGUAUACAAUAUUCCAUUAUCUCUCUAUAUAUCACAUAGUGGGAACUUUGUCAGCCAACAUUAUGCUUGUAAUCUGUAAAAACACUAUUCAAGUCCUUGUUUUUAGCUAUUGUAACAAUCUGAA